rnacentral:lncRNA from 1 species
AGGGAAACGUAGAGGAAAUGGAAACGCAGGCAUUUCUAAGUCCAUCCCUAUCAUCUUAUAGAGACGCAGUAGCUGCUAGAAAGCCUGGCCCGUUUUCCUCCGGUCUGGACUGUCAAGACGAGGACUUUGCUGUAGCGGAGACACAAUCCUUUAUUCUCAAUGACAGAAGCCACGACGCUCCCCCGAAGAAAACCCUAACAUCUCAUCCGACCUCAAGUCCUCAGCGAAUGAGAAUGACGUGUCUAAUACAGACGGGGGGCAUUUCCAGCUUGAGCUUUCUGACAGCAGCGUCCUUCGGGCCCAAGCUCUGGCCAUGGAGAGCACCCAGGCUUUUGUCAAUAUGAAUCUGGAUGAAACACAGCCAUAUGGAGACGCCAUUCCCUCUGACGCAAGGGAGGGACCGGUAGAUAUAGCCUUACAAGCAACACAGGCCUAUAGUCCCCAGCCGAGAAGCGAUGAGGAGGAAGAGAGUGAUGAAGAUCAAACUACAGGAAAGGUUGACCAAUCUGUGCCACAGUCAAGACUUGAGAGAGCAGAGGAUCUUGAGGAAGCAACGCAACCAGUUGAUUUUAUAUCUGAAGCUCCAACUCAGCCCAUGUGCUUUGACCAGGACAGCGACAGCGACAGCGAGGACUCUGCUCCAGCUUUAUGUAAAAGAAAGGCAAAACAAAUUGAAGAGGAGGAGACCCGACAGCUUACAAGUGUAGCGAUGGCUGAAACGCAGCCCAUGGAGAUGAUGGAAGAUGGUGCAAGCAAUGAAGAAUCACCAGUUUUCAGGAAGAAAAAAGCAGAGCCAAUUGAAGAAGAGGAGACACAACCAAAUUCACAUCUAAUUGAGACUCAAACGCUACCUAUGGAAAUGACGGAGGAUACAGACAGUGAAGAAGACUCCCCUGUUUUUAAGAAGAGAAAGGCAAAGCAGCUUCAACUUGAGGAAGAGGCAACACAGGCUGUAGAAAUUCCCUUGGACGGAGACAGCGAUGAAGAGGAUUCUGUUCCUAAUUUUAGAAGGAGAAAAGUGAAGCCCCUUGAAUCAGUGGAGGACACUCAACCAUCUCAGGAGCUAACCGUGGCUCAGACUCAACCUCUUCCUGCGUCAGAGACGGACGAAAGUGCCGGAGAAGAUUCAGCCAGAGUUGUGAUAAAAAGGCAAACGAGAAAACAAAAGAAGUGCGCUGAUUCUGAACUUUCUUUAGGGCCAACGCAGCCUGUCGUUUUGAGCGAGGACGAGGCAAGUGACGAAGAGGAGGAAGUGAUUCCAGCUCCCAGGAAAAGAAAAGCGAGAAAACUUGAGGACACCCAGUCGCUCACAAAUUCCAAGAAGAUGCAAAGAGGGGCAGAGGCAAGACGAGGCGAGCGACGUUAGCGUGAGGCCAAGGAGAGGCGGCGCAAGAUCUGUGAAGGAAAAGCAAGAAACGGCAGAAGAAGUGAGCGCAGGACCUCAGAAGAGACAGACCAGAGGAAAAGUAAAGCGGCACCGGGUUCUA